CUUUCUAAGUUGGACCAGGUCCGACCCUGGAACUAGUCCGGUUUCUAAAUUAGACCUAAGCCAAACACCAGGCAGUUUCAAGCCCCAGUUUUCAGAAAAAGUUCAGACUUUUGUCGAAGUGUGAAUGCUCCCGACGCAAAGCUGCUAAACGAGGACUGGGAUCCGAAGGGAGGGGACGUUCCCACGACCUCCGCAGGCCGCGAGGAGGCAGCAGCUCCGCAGGCAUGCAUUGUAUUGAACAAAUACUUGUCUAUUUGCUUAAGAGGCAAAGGAAGUACUUAGUGAAAGCAGAAAGCAGAAAAAGGCUAUUUUUAAGAAGAACAAAUAAUGCAAAAAGAUGCACAUCUGAGUAUAAAACAAGAGAACUAACUUGUGAUAAUGAGUUGAAGUUGUGAAAAAGGAGACAGGCAGAUUGGAGACAUCUUUCAGAAAUAGGACACUGACUUCUGUAAUAUUAAAGUAGAGAAACUGGAGCUUAUUGAAGAAGUAAAAUGCACACCUGGAUGAGAGAUUGCUGACCUUCCAGUGUACGUAUCCAGUCUCCCCUGAAACAUGAGAGCACCUCCAGUCUGUGACUUUCAUGAUUUCCUCUGGUUCCUGACAAAUAAAUGUCAGUCUGAAUAGAAGCCAACUGGGU
rnacentral:lncRNA from 1 species